rnacentral:rRNA from 1 species
UUAAGCUACUAAGGGCGUACGGUGAAUGCCUUGGUGCCAAAUGCCGAAGAAGGACGUGGAACACUGCGAUAAGCCUCGGUGAGCCGUGUACAGGCUGCGACCCGGGGAUGUCCGAAUGGGGAAACCCGGCGUCGGGACGCAAGUCUCCGACGUCAUCCCUUUGCUGAAUACAUAAGCUUAGGGAGGGGAACCUGGGGAACUGAAACAUCUUAGUACCCAGAGGAAAAGAGAUUAUUCCGCUAGUAGUGGCGAGCGAACGCGGAUCAGCCCAAACCAGUCCGGCUUGCCGGAUUGGGGUUGUAGGACCAGCGUAUGGGAGUUAGAAAUCGGAUGGCUAGCAGAAUGGUGUUGAAAAGCCUACCAUAGAGGGUGCUAGUCCCGUAAGCGAAAGCCGUCCGACUCCCGCUGAGUUCCUGAGUACCACCGGGCACGCUAAUCCGGUGGGAAGCUGGGGAGACCACUCUCCAAGGCUAAAUACAUUUGGCAACCGAUAGUGAACAAGUACCGUGAGGGAAAGGUGAAAAGAACCCCUGUUAGGGGAGUGAAAUAGAAUCUGAAACCGUGCGCUUACAAGCAGUCGGAGGGCUAAUGGCGGGUCUGUGUCCCCGGGAAACCGGGUGAUGCGCCGCUAGGCCUGACGGCGUGCCUUUUGGAGAAUGAGCCGGCGAGUUAAUAUUUGUGGCGAGGUUAAGGGAGAAACACCCGGAGCCGUAGCGAAAGCGAGUCUGAAUAGGGCGUUGAGUCGCAAGGAUUAGACACGAAACCAGGUGAGCUACCCAUGGCCAGGGUGAAGCGAGUCUAAACACUCGUGGAGGCCCGAACCUUUAGCUGUUGCAAAAGCUUGGGAUGAGCUGUGGGUAGAGGUGAUAUGCCAAACGAACCUGGAGAUAGCUUGUUCUCCCCGAAAUAGCUUUAGGGCUAGCGUCACGCGUUUAGUACUGGAGGUAGAGCACUGGAUGGGCUCGGGGGCUUAUCGCUUACCAAACCCAACCAAACUCCGAAUGCCAGUACUCCAGAGCGUGGCAGUCGGACCGUGGGAGAUGAGUUUCAUGGUCGAGAGGGAAAGAGCCCAGACCAUCGGCUAAGGUCCUUAAGUCUGAACUAAGUGGGAAACGAUGUGGGAUUGUUGAGACAGCCAGGAGGUUGGCUUAGAAGCAGCCAUCCUUUAAAGAGUGCGUAACAGCUCACUGGUCAAACGAUCCUGCGCGGAUAAUGUAACGGGGCUAAGUUCAGCACCGAAGCCAUGGGUCUCUGUCAUCUGCGGAUGACAGGGGCGGUAGGGGAGCGUUCUGUCUGCACUGAAGGUCGACCGAAAGGACGACUGGAGCGGGCAGAAGUGAGAAUGCCGGCAUGAGUAGCGUAAAACACGUGAGAACCGUGUUCGCCGUAAGUCUAAGGUUUCCGACGGAAGGUCAAUCCGCGUCGGGUUAGUCGGUCCUUAGCCGAGGCCGAAAGGCGUAGGUGAUGGACAUCCGGUUAAUAUUCCGGAACCACCUAGGUGGAGCGAUGGGGUAACGCAACGAGGUAGGCCAGCCUGCGAUUGGUUGUGCAGGUGGUAAGCGUGUAGGUGUUGAGGUCCGCAGGCAAAUCCACGGACUGAGCCGAGGCGCGAUGCCGAGCCCUUGAGGCAUAAGUGGUUGAGCCUUGUUGCCAAGAAAAACCUCUAAGCGAUGAAACCUGGGUGACCGUACCGCAAACCGACACUGGUAGACGGGUAGAGUAUACCAAGGCGAACGGGAGAACCCUCGUUAAGGAACUAGGCAAAUUGGCCCCGUAACUUCGGGAGAAGGGGCGCCUCCUUAUGUGAAAUUAAUACUGAUGGAGCAAGGGGAGGCCACAGUGAAAUGGCUCUGGUGACUGGUUAACAAAACCACAGGUCUCUGCAAAGCCGCAAGGCGAUGUAUAGGGGCUGACACCUGCCCAGUGCCGGAAGGUUAAAGGGAAGGGUUAGCUCCCCUCGGGGAGCGAAGCUUAGAACUGAAGCCCCGGUGAACGGCGGCCGUAACUAUAACGGUCCUAAGGUAGCGAAAUUCCUUGUCGGGUAAGUUCCGACCCGCACGAAUGGUGUUGGAGCACUGUCUCAACGAGGGACCCGGCGAAAUUGAAGUCGCGGUAAAGAUGCCGCGUACCCGCAGUAGGACAAAAAGACCCCGUGGAGCUUUACUAUAGCUUGGCAUUGCAUUCGGGCUUAGUUUGUCUAGCAUAGGUGGGAGGCUGUGAAACUGGAGCGCUAGCUUCGGUGGAGCCGACCGUGGAAUACUACCCUUGCUAAGUUUGAGUCCUAACCCCUGACCGUUAUCCGGCAGGGGGACAGUGCCUGGUAGGUAGUUUGACUGGGGCGGUCGCCUCCUAAAAGGUAGCGGAGGCGCCCAAAGGUUCCCUCAGGCUGAAUGGAAACCAGCCAUAGAGUGUAAAGGCAUAAGGGAGCUUGACUGCGAGACAUACACGUCGAGCAGAGACGAAAGUCGGGCUUAGUGAUCCCACGGUACCGAGUGGAAGGGCCGUGGCUCAUCGGAUAAAAGCUACCCCGGGGAUAACAGGCUAGUCUUGCCCAAGAGUUCACAUCGACGGCAAGGCUCGGCACCUCGAUGUCGGCUCAUCGCAUCCUGGGGCUGUAUAAGGUCCCAAGGGUUGGGCUGUUCGCCCAUUAAAGCGGUACGUGAGCUGGGUUCAGACCGUCGUGAGACAGGUCGGUCUCUAUCCACUGUGGGCGUAAGGGAUUUGAGGGGAGCUGCUCCUAGUACGAGAGGACCGGAGUGGACAGACCUCUGGUGUGCCAGUUGUCGUGCCAACGGCAUCGCUGGGUAGCCACGUCUGGCAGAGAUAACCGCUGAAAGCAUCUAAGUGGGAAACUCGCCCCAAGAUAAGAUCCCUCAUCCCGUUAAGGGAGUAAGGCCGCAGGUAGACUACCUGCUUGAUAGGCGGCAAGUGUAAGCACAGCAAUGUGUUCAGCUAAGCCGUACUAAUGGCCGAGGGCUUAACCUG